rnacentral:lncRNA from 1 species
AUGAGCUUUCCUUCUCCAGGUUUCCCUCCUAUUUUGUAGUGAAGAUUGGGAAAACCUUCUGGCAUAAAGAAUGUGCAUGCACUGGGGAUGCAGGGAAUGUGCAUAGCUGCUAUUGGGAGGAUAUGGAGAAGAGGAUUUCUAAUGACUUCUCUGUCUCUUGGCAUGAUCCAAACAGUGAUUUUUGUAAUGAUGAACCUGCAUUGACAGCAUAUGGGUUUUUGCGCCCCCCCCCAAAAAAAAAAAAAACCCAGAGCAAUUUAUUUUUAGGGUUAGUCUCAGCUGCUUCCAUUUCCAGAAAUCAAAGUUACAUAAUGCUUGGCAUACAUAAUGCACAUUGCCUUAAACUGGAGGAGAGCAUGAAUGUGUGACCUUUGAAACAACAUAUGCAAUGUCAAUGACAGUACAUGAUCUAAAAAGAAAAUAAUCAACUGAAUGUCACUUCUAGAUUGGACUUUUAAUCCUGGGGACCUUUAAUCAUGAAUGAUCCUCUGGGACUUUUGGUCUGGUGGCUUUCCCCUGUCUCCUCUUAAAAGAGGUACUAUCCCAUUAAUUAAAAAAGAUAACCGUCUGCCAGUGCUGCUCCCCAGCAUGAUCUCAAACUUUGGUCCUGGGACAAGAUCUUUUACUUUUCUUGUUAAAUCAGUAAAGAGAUCUGGAAAAGGUAAUACCUUAAAGAAAUAGACUUUUAGAAGUAUUUGCUCUGAAAAAAAAUUUUUUUUUCCUUACUACUUGUCUACCCUUAGUCAAGUCCACUUCUGGCUCCAAUUGGUGCUUGUCCCAUGUACACCAGAGUUCCAUUCUUUUGGUACUGGGGAUUGAACCCAGGGGUACUUGACCAUUAAGCUAUAUCCACAGUCCUUUUUUAUUUUUUAUUUUGAGACGGGGCCUUCCUAAAUUGCCGAGGCUGGCCUUGAGCUUUCAAUCCUCCUACCUCAGCCCCCAGAGUUGCUGGGAUUACAGGUAUGUGCCACCAUGCUGGGACACCAGAGUUCUUGCUGGAAAAAAAUGAUCUAAUAAACACUGAAAUGGAAAUCCAACUACA